rnacentral:rRNA from 1 species
UACGAAGGGGGCUAGCGUUGCUCGGAAUCACUGGGCGUAAAGCGCACGUAGGCGGAUUGCUAAGUCAGACGUGAAAUCCCUCGGCUUAACCGGGGAACUGCGUCUGAUACUGGAUGGCUUGAGUUUGGGAGAGGGACGCGGAAUUCCAGGUGUAGCGGUGAAAUGCGUAGAUAUCGGGAGGAACACCUGUGGCGAAGGCGGCUACCUGGCCCAAUACUGACACUCAGGUGCGACAGCGUGGGGAGCAAACAGG